UACGUAGGGUGCGAGCGUUGUCCGGAAUUAUUGGGCGUAAAGAGCUCGUAGGCGGCUUGUCGCGUCGGCUGUGAAAACCUGGGGCUCAACCCCGGGCCUGCAGCCGAUACGGGCAAGCUAGAAUUCGGUAGGGGAGACUGGAAUUCCUGGUGUAGCGGUGAAAUGCGCAGAUAUCAGGAGGAACACCGGUGGCGAAGGCGGGUCUCUGGGCCGAUAUUGACGCUGAGGAGCGAAAGCGUGGGGAGCGAACAGGAUUAGAUACCGGAGGUCAGUC
rnacentral:rRNA from 1 species